rnacentral:rRNA from 1 species
AUGAUUGCUGCUGGCCCAUCUGGGCAUGUGCACGUCUGCCAUCUUUAUCUCUCCACCUGUGCACAUAUUGUAGGUCUGGAAUAAAUUUCUGAGGCAACUNNNCUAGUGGGGAAUGCUGCUGCGAAGUGGCUUUGCCUGUAAUUUCAGAUCUAUGUUUUCAUAUACACCAUAAAAAUGUAACAGNAUGUAUUAAUGGGUCUUGUACCUAUAAACUAUAUACAACUUUC